CGGGGCGUAGCGCAGUCUGGUAGCGCGGCGGUUUUGGGAACCGUAGGUCGUAGGUUCGAAUCCUAUCGCCCCGACCA
rnacentral:tRNA from 3 species